rnacentral:rRNA from 1 species
AUUGAACGCUGGCGGCAGGCCUAACACAUGCAAGUCGAGCGGAUGAAGAGAGCUUGCUCUCUGAUUCAGCGGCGGACGGGUGAGUAAUGCCUAGGAAUCUGCCUGGUAGUGGGGGACAACGUCUCGAAAGGGACGCUAAUACCGCAUACGUCCUACGGGAGAAAGCAGGGGACCUUCGGGCCUUGCGCUAUCAGAUGAGC